GACAGAGGUCCCGAGCGUUAGGCGGAAUCACUGGGCUUAAAGCGUGUGUAGGCGGAUCUGUAAGUACCUUGUGAAAUCCCACGGCUUAACCGUGGAACUGCUCGGUAUACUGCGGAUCUUGAGCCACCUAGGGGCAGCCGGAACAAACGGUGGAGCGGUGAAAUGCGUAGAUAUCGUUUGGAACGCCAAUGGUGAAAACAGGUUGCUGGGGGUGUGCUGACGCUGAGACACGAAAGCCAGGGGAGCAAACGGG
rnacentral:rRNA from 1 species